GCCUUGGUACCCCAGUGGUCAGUGGGGGGGUUGUUGAUCUUAAGUCAUGAGUUCGAUUCUUACCCAAGGCA
rnacentral:tRNA from 1 species